rnacentral:rRNA from 1 species
GGGUGAGCCGGCUCCUAAGGCGAGGGCGAAAGCCGUAGUCGAUGGGAAACAGGUGAAUAUUCCUGUGCCUGCUAGAAGUGACGAAUGCGAGAUGUUGUCAGGUCUUAUUGGAUUGAUCUGGCUUUUUAAGCAUUCCAGGAAAUAGCUCUAGCAUAUAGACCGUACCCUAAACCGACACAGGUGGACUGGUAGAGUAUACCAAGGCGCUUGAGAGAACUAUGCUGAAGGAACUAGGCAAAUUACUCGCGUAACUUCGGGAUAAGCGAGACCCAAUUGUGGGCAACCAUGAUUGGGUGGCACAAAAGAGGGGG